UACGUAGGGUGCUAGCGUUGUCCGGAUUUAUUGGGCGUAAAGAGCUCGUAGGCGGCUUGUUGCGUCUGCUGUGAAAUCCCGGGGCUUAACCCCGGGCGUGCAGUGGAUACGGGCAGGCUGGAGGCAGGCAGGGGAGAAUGGAAUUCCCGGUGUAGCGGUGAAAUGCGCAGAUAUCGGGAGGAACACCAACGGCGAAAGCACUCUGCUGGGCCGACACUGACACUGAGAGACGAAAGCUAGGGGAGCGAAUGGG
rnacentral:rRNA from 1 species